rnacentral:tRNA from 1 species
GUCGUGCAGGGCGGCAAGGACACGGUCGAUGCGUUGAUCGCGCAUCCUGAUAUCUCGGCUGUCAGCUUUGUGGGUUCCACGCCGAUCGCACGUUAC